CGGGCGGGGCUGGGGCCGGAAACGCGCGCGGCGGCUUCGGAUUCCUGCGCGGUGGGACAAGCCCGCGCCUGCGCGCCGCCCGGACAGGGCACGUCGCCCGCGAGGGGGGUGGCGGGCCCAGGAGGAGGGGACCCCGACACCCCCUCACCGCCUGCCGGGGCGGGCCGCCACGCUGGACGGGGGCAGCGCGGGGCGGGGUCGGGGGGCGGCAGAAGGCGCCUUUGUGCGUCGCGUCCCCGAGCGUGUCGCGGCGGGCCCGGCACCGGCCCCGCUCCAGCGCCCGCCCCCGGCCCGCGCCCCGGGCCCCGCGCGCAUACCUGGCGAGGCCACGAGGGGAUUCUGCGGGCCAAGCCCCGCCUGGGCUGCGCCGCCGCAGGCGGGAGAGGCUGAGGAUUCUUUUGGGAAGCCCCUCCGCCGGCUGUAACCCCAGGGCCGUGCCACCCUCCUGAUCACCGCAAGCAUGGACCCCCCAGCACGCUGCGGGUGGGACAGGCAGGGCCCCUGUGGGGUGGCUUGGCUGGCCUGGAGUUGGGGACGAAGUCCCCGGGCUUGGUCCCCCGAGGGCUUGGUUGGGCGUCCCGGGGUAGGUGGCUGCCGCGGCGAUGUGGGCGGCUUGCGUGUGGCCGAUCGGGGUCGCUGCUGAGCCCCGGAGAGCGGAGGGUCCAGGCUAGGCUGGGGGAGCGAGAGGCGAGGGCGGAGCCGCGGAGGUGUGGGCGGCUUGCGUGGUCCGAGAAGCCCCAGCUUCCCGGCAGGGCGGGGAAGGCUGGGGCGGGGCCAGAGCCGGAGCCGCGAAGCCGCGAUGGAGAGGGCCUGGAGGGUGCGCCAGGAGCCGGCGUCAGGGCCUGCCUUCAUCUCUCCAACCCCCACCCCAGUUAUUCCUGUAACAAAUUCCUACCGGGAGUUGACACAGCAGCUGUGCGCUGGGGACACACGAGAUGCUCACCCUCCCUGCCCUCCAGGAGCUUGGACUCAGCUGAGGUCUGCAGGGGCCAGCAGGAGCAGAGCCUAGGGCCCUGGUGGGAAGGUCGUGGCCCACUAGGGAAGGCUGGGCCCGGGGGGUCAGGUGGAGGGCAGGCUGAGCUGCGAGCUGUUUCCUCAGCCUGGAGCAAGGCCACCACUCCCAGCGCCUGGCCUCCUCGCUCCCGAAAGCUCAGCUCAGCCUACAUGUGCCGACCCCUCUGUCCCCCAGGCCCAGGUUGGGCACUGGUCAGGACGGUGCUCCCAGAGGGACCCAGUAACAGGAGCUAGGGUGAGAGCAUGAGGGUGGGGGGAGUGGCAGAGAGGAGGGAGAGGAAGGAGGUGCUCAGGGCAGGAGUGUCUGGAGUGAGGAGGGAGAGGCAGGAGGUGCUCAGGGCAGGAGUGUCUCGAGUGGGUCUGGACAGGAACAGGGGGGGCAUUCCAGGCAGAGGGGCCCAAAGAAGCAAAGGUGCACAAGGGAGAAAUGCCCGCUGUGCUCCACCACAGUGGAGGUGCAAACCUCAGCAUGGAAGAUGAGGCUGGAGGGAGGGGCCUGGGCUGGAACAUGGCCAGGAUGGCAGUGGGGAGCCAUUGGAGAUGUUUGAGCAGGAGAGUGACAGGGUCAGAUUCGAGUUUUGGAAAGAUAACAUCUUGAGCCAUUAAACAGAUUUCUAGGAUUUCAGGUUUAUUUAUUUAUUUAUUUAUUUAGAGACUCACUUCACUCUGUUACCCAGGCUGUAGUGCAGUGGUGCGAUCUCUGCUCACUGCAAUCACUCAAGGCCAAGUGAUUCUCAUGCCUCAGCCUCCUGAGUAGCUGGGACUACAGGUGUGCACCACCAUGCCCAGCUAAUUUUUGUAUUUUUAGUAGAGGCGGGGUUUCGCCAUGUUGGCCAGGCUGGUCUCGAAUUCCUGGCUGUGAUUACAGGCGUGAGCCACCACGCCCUGCUGGAUUUUGGAUUCUUGAUACAUAUCAUCAACCACUCUCCAGAGUUUGGCCAGCUUCACGCUCCAUCAGUGGUCUCACCAUAGACCUUCUAAUCUUGAUUGUGUUGGCUGGUGUCUAUUUUCUAAUGGUGUUUGGUUUUGGAACCUGCAUUUCUUUGAAAAAGAGUGAGCAUGUGCAUUUUCCCGGAUGCCUGGUAUCCAACUGCACUUCUCCAUGUGUGCAUUGUCCCCUGAGCUGGCAAGAAGAUCCUACUAGUUGGUCUGCAUGCCAUGCCAGCUCGGCCUUGCACCCUGGGGGCCCAGGUAACUAGCUCUCACCAACAGAAAGAGAUGUGAUGGACAUCACCUGAGGCCAGACCCUAAGACCUCUGUGUGCCCCCUCCGUGUCUCCUGUCUGCAGCUGUUGUCCACACCAAGGGUGGCCUACAGAGGGAAGUGAGGACCUUGGGACUUCCUCCAGGACAGCCCUCGCUGUCCAAAUCUCCACCUGCUGCAGAGCUGCCUCCAGUCAAGCCCUUGUUUCCGGCUUUCUGUGCCCUAAAUAAACUUCCGCUAGGACUGAGCCAUCAGCAUUCUGUGGUGGGCAUCGCUGCUGCGAGGUUGCCCUCAUGCACACAAGCUCCUCACAGGACUUCCAGGAUGAUAUGGAAGAGUAACUGAGAGCAGCCGCCCGGUGCUUCCCAACCUUAGAGGGAGGUCACGGGCAGUCUCCCUGCGAUGCCGGCCACAGGGUCUCGCUGUGUCGCCCAGGCUGGAGGGCAGUGGUGUGAUCUGGACUCACUGCAGCCUCGACCUGUUGGGCUCAAGUGAUCCUCCCACAUCAGCCUCCAAGUAGCCAAGACCACAGGCAGGCGUCACCAUGCCCAGCCCCCAUGAUGACUUUACUUUUCUUCUUGAACCUGGUGAAUGUCUGUGUUAACAUUUCUGAUUUGAACCCUUCUGAUAUUCCUGAGAUAAACUUUAUGUGACCUUGGUAUUCUGUUGGAUUUUGGUUAGCUGAUACUUCAAGAUUUUUAUAAAACUGGGUUGCAAUUUAUUUGUGUUCCCAUUUCUAGCUGUCUAUGAGCUUCAUCAAAUGGGCAGGACCACUUUCCCUUAACUUCUCCUUUUCUGGAACAACGGACAUAUCCUGUGGAUUAUCUGUUCCCCACAGGUUUGGGAUAUGGGUGCUGUGAAUGCCACUGUGCUGGGGGCUUUGGGAAGUGUGUGUUUGUGUGCGUGUGUGGUGGGAUACAGGUGUGGUUACUACUUUGAUUUCUUUCUUUCUUUUUUUUUUUUUUUGAGAUGGAGUCUCACUCUGUUGCCCACGCUGAAGUGCAAUGGCGUGAUCACGACUCACUGCAACCUCCGCCUCCUGGGUUCAAGCGACUCUCUUGCCUCAGCCUCCAGAGUUGCUGGGAUUACAGGCACCCACAACCAUACCCUAAAUUUUGUAUUUUUAGUAAAGAUGGGGUUUCACCAUUUGGCCAGGCUUGUCUUGAACUCCCAGUUACCAAUUUCUUAUGUGUCGUUUUGAAGACUUUCUAGGUAUGACCAACCUAGUAAAUUGAGUCACCCACCACUGUUUUGUUUGUGUUUGUUUGUUUGUUUGUUUUUUAGAAUGGGGUUUCACCUUGUUGCCCAGGCUAGUCUUGAACUCCUGGGCUCCAGCAAUCUACCCUCCUCAGCUUCCCAAAGUGCUGGGAUUAUAGGCGUGAGCCACCAUGCCUGGCCCCACCACUCAUUCUUAACCUCUUCUUCUUUGCCUUUCUCUGUUGCAGAGUCCUGGAAGUUAAAUGCUCUAUUUCCCAGCCUCCCUUGCAGCUAGGAGCAGUCAUGUGACUCCAUUCUGGCCAAUGAGAUACAAGAAACACUUGCUGACAGGUGCAAUCAGAAAGUGUUUGCUUUUCCAGUAACAUGUAGGACCAGUCACCUUUUUGCAUUUCCCCUUUCUUCUUGAUUCGAACAUUGCAUUGCCAUCAUGUUUGGAGAUGAGUCAGCCAUCUUGCAAAUAGGAGGCAGCAAGACUGAGGGAAAUGCCAUCCUGCUUCAGAGGGCAGAAUGGAAAGAGAAGCCUAAGAUGGCAAUGGUACGGUUGGGCAGCUGAGUCAGGACUGGGGCCACUGCCUCUGGGUUUUAAGGGAGAAAAAUAAACCCCUGUUUGUUGGCCUCAUGUUAGGUUGGAUUUUCUUUUACUUAAACCCAAGACACUUCUAACAUACAAAACCAGACACACAUGUGCAUGCCACAUGUACAUCACAAGUGAUCACAAACUGUCCGACUAGCACCUUGAUUUUUCCACUGAACCAUCAGU